UGUCUAUCUCCUUUAAGUACUAAUAAAAAAGUGAAAUGGUUUGAAAAUAAUCAUUCUUGUUAAAUGUUGACAGCAUUAAGUAGCACAAUAUGUCAAUCUGAGUAUUUGUUAUUAUAAAUGUCUUAAUUUCUACAUUAAAAGAUCUCUCACAUUAGGUGAUAAAACAUGCAUUAUUAGCUAUCCUAACACGAAAUCAACACAACAGAAGAUUUACAGAGCCCCUUGUCAGUGGUGUUAAUAAUGAUCAGUGCCUUAUUUAGAAAUAGAGUCUGUGAGGAAGUAAAGAGGUGUGACAGGGUAAAGAGAUGAUGGCAGGAGGUCUAUAAGAAGAGCAGAUAUGAGAGUGAGACACUGCAGGAGGAGAGAACAGCAGUAAAGAUGAAGAGAACAGUGACUGUUACUUUUCUGUUGCUGCUGCUGCUGCAGAUCAGCCUGCAACAAACUCGAGCUGCAGCUGAUCCGAAGUCACUAAAACGCUCUGAUGAUCUGAAAAACAUUUUGUACGAGCAAGGAACCGCGCUGGCUGAGAUGAAGACUCAGGUGAAGUUCAUAGAGAAGGAGAACGGAGACCUGAAAACCAAAAUGACCAGACAGAUCAAACGUUCCAGGCAAACUGAGAGUCAGCUGGAGAGCCUAAAGAAAGAAAUGGCAGCACAGUUGUCGGAGGUGUCUGUAAUAAGAAGCUCACUGGUGAAUGUUGAGGCUGAAAUGGGGAAACUGAAGAAGGAGAAUGAAGAUCUGAAGAAGAAAGCGUCUACAGCUGAGGGUUAUCUGAAGACUCUAAAGAAGGAAAUCACAGGUAAACUAGGGGUUUUCAGGUUUUUUUUAAAGCCAUUAUA
rnacentral:lncRNA from 1 species